GAUGAACGCUGGCGGCGUGCCUAAUACAUGCAAGUCGAGCGAACGGACGAGGAGCUUGCUUCUCUGAUGUUAGCGGCGGACGGGUGAGUAACACGUGGAUAACCUACCUAUAAGACUGGGAUAACUUCGGGAAACCGGAGCUAAUACCGGAUAAUAUUUUGAACCGCAUGGUUCAAAAGUGAAAGACGGUCUUGCUGUCACUUAUAGAUGGAUCCGCGCUGCAUUAGCUAGUUGGUAAGGCAACGGCUUACCAAGGCAACGAUGCAUAGCCGACCUGAGAGGGUGAUCGGCCACACUGGAACUGAGACACGGUCCAGACUCCUACGGGAGGCAGCAGUAGGGAAUCUUCCGCAAUGGGCGAAAGCCUGACGGAGCAACGCCGCGUGAGUGAUGAAGGUCUUCGGAUCGUAAAACUCUGUUAUUAGGGAAGAACAUAUGUGUAAGUAACUGUGCACAUCUUGACGGUACCUAAUCAGAAAGCCACGGCUAACUACGUG
rnacentral:rRNA from 1 species